UUUUUUUUUUUUUUUUUUUAAGUUUUUGUGAGAGCUGUGACAUAUACCAAGAUGGUCGGGUUUUCACUUUACCUUUUGCUGGUGGUUGCUGUCUGCUGUCAGGCCUAUCGAGUUGCUAGGAAAUUUCGGCCAAGAUACCAUCUAAGGAGUCGGUGGCUUAGGUCACAUGGCGGCCCUGAUUCUGCUACAGAAGACUUUAGCCCAACCCAAAGUGAGGAAGCCCCAAGUCAUUAUGCACCUGUUGAGGAAUAUCUCCCGGAAAGCCAAAAGAGUAUGCAGCAGGCGCAGACAAACGAGAUGAAGCUUUCCCAGGCCCCAGCUCCAGUGUGGGAGAAUCAAGUGAAGCCCUCACUCCCUGCCCAGACAAGCCGGGAGUGGGCUCCUGCUGAUGGUCCAUCAGGGUCAACCCCUGAACGCUUCGUCACGAUCACUACGCCGUCAGGUUUUCGAACUCGCUACAUAGUGAAGUCUUUCAACCGUUAUGCGGUUGGGAUUUUGGAGUUUUCCCAGACCACCUACAUCCCCCUUGGACGUGCCUUCCCCUGGAUUCCUGGUACAGCUCCUGUUCCUACCUCUCCGCAUGAAGCCCAAACUGAAGAGCUCCUCUACGGAAGGUAGUUCAAGGUUCUUUUCAUUUUUUUUUUUUUUAGUGAAGGGUUGGCAUAAGUUUGAGCCCAUAAUAGCACAGACAAACAAGAUGGUUUCCCAGGGCCCCAGCUCCAGUGUGGGAGAAUCAAGUGAAGCCCUCACUCCCUGCCCAGACAAGCCGGGAGUGGGCUCCUGCUGAUGGUCCAUCAGGGUCAACCCUUGAACGCUUCGUCAAGAUUACUAGGACGUAAGGUUUUCAAACUCGCUACAGAGUGGUCUUUCAACCGUUUUGUGCUUGGGAAGUUGUGGUUUUCCCAGACCACCUACAUCCCCCUUGGACGUGCCUUCCCCCGCAUCCCUGGUAAAGCUCCUGUUCCUACCUCUCCGCAUGAAGCUCAAACUGAAGAGCUCCUCUACGGAAGGCUUAGGAUUUGAGGAGUGGACAUUUCUGUGCCAUGGAUGUCUGUCUUCAUAUUUGAGUGGAUUAAAUUAACUUUGCCCUGGUUACUGAUGUAAAUGCUGUGUAUUUAUUUAUUUAUUUAUUUAUUUAUUUUCCCCUCCCAGGCUCAUCUGGAUGUCUAGCUUUCACAGUAAAUUUUGGCUUAAUAAAGGUUUCCUUUAUCCUGUA
ensembl:lncRNA